GUACGCUGGCGGCACGCCUAACACAUGCAAGUCGAACGAAGUAGCAAUACUUAGUGGCAGACGGGUGAGUAACAUGUGGGUAUCUGCCCUUUGGCCUGGAAUAACACGAGGAAACUUGUGCUAAUACCGGAUAAGUCUUUACGGAGAAAGCUUUAUGCACCAUUGGAUGAGCCUGCACUUGAUUAGUUUGUUGGUGGGGUAAUGGCUUACCAAGACUUUGAUCAAUAGCUGAUUUGAGAGGAUGAUCAGCCACAUUGGGACUGAGACACGGCCCAAACUCCUACGGGAGGCAGCAGUGGGGAAUCUUGCACAAUGGAGGAAACUCUGAUGCAGCGAUGCCGCGUGAGUGAAGAAGGCCUUUGGGUUGUAAAGCUCUUUCGUCGGGGAAGAAAAUGACUGUACCCGAAUAAGAAGGUCCGGCUAA
rnacentral:rRNA from 1 species